rnacentral:rRNA from 1 species
UACGGAGGGUGCAAGCGUUAUCCGGAUUCACUGGGUUUAAAGGGUGCGUAGGUGGGCAAGUAAGUCAGUGGUGAAAUCUCCGGGCUUAACCCGGAAACUGCCAUUGAUACUAUUUGUCUUGAAUACUGUGGAGGUCAGCGGAAUAUGUCAUGUAGCGGUGAAAUGCUUAGAUAUGACAUAGAACACCAAUUGCGAAGGCAGCUCGCUACACAUAUAUUGACUCUGAGGCACGAAAGCGUGGGGAUCAAACAGG